rnacentral:rRNA from 1 species
UACGUAGGGGGCAAGCGUUGUCCGGAAUCAUUGGGCGUAAAGCGCGCGUAGGCGGCCCUGUAAGUCCGUUGUAAAAGUCAAAGGCUCAACCUUUGAAAGCCGAUGGAUACUGCAGGGCUAGAGUCCGGAAGAGGCGAGUGGAAUUCCACGUGUAGCGGUGAAAUGCGUAGAGAUGUGGAGGAACACCUGUGGCGAAGGCGGCAUCCUGGACCGGCAUUGACGCUGAUGAGCGAAAGCUAGGGGAGCAAACGGG